rnacentral:rRNA from 1 species
GCCCUGAAAAUGGAUGGCGCUCUAGCGUCGUGCCUAUACCGGGCCGUCAACGGCACAGUGGGCGUCUGCCUUCGGGCAAGAGCCGUUAUGCCUUGACGAGUAGGAGGGUCGCGGCGGUGUGCGCAGAAGGGUCUGGGCGUGAGCCCGCCUGGAGCCGCCGUCGGCGCAGAUCUUGGUGGUAGUAGCAAAUACUCUAGCGAGGGCCUGGAGGACUGACGUGGAGAAGGGUUUCUUGUGAACAGCCGUUGCACAAGAGUCAGUCGACCCUAAGCACUAGGAGAAAUCCGAUGUUGAUGGGUGGCUAUACAAAACCACAUUCUGUUUGUUGCCAAACGCUUCUACGGCGCCCCUUCCUUUUGUGUUGCAGGGCCUGGAGGCGUCAACGAUUCACCCUGUAAACCGCGAGAGUUCGUCGGACACCCGUCACUCCGGUGACAGGGGCCGUCUUCUUUAGCAGUGUUUCGAGGGAGGAUGCAGCGUAACAACUGCUCCUGUCGUGCAAAAGGGAAUCCGGUUCCUAUUCCGGAACCCGGCUGCGUAACCGCCACUCUGCGGGCACUCGCCUGCGAGCGCUCGUCGGGGUAACCCAAACUGGCCCGGAGACGCCGGCGGGGGGUCUGGAAAGAGUUUUCUUUUCUUUAUAAGCGUUCGAGUACCCUGGAAUCCUAUAGCAGGGAGAUAGGGUUUGGAACGCGAAGAGCACCGCAGUUGCGGCGGUGUCCGGACUUCCCCCCCGGACCUUGAAAAUCNGGGUGAGGGCUACGCGGAAGUCGCGCCGGAUCGUACCCAUAUCCGCAGCAGGUCUCCAAGGUUAAGAGCCUCUAGUCGAUAGAAUAAUGUAGGUAAGGGNANUCGGCAAAUUGGAUCCGUAACUUCGGGACAAGGAUUGGCUCUGAGGAUCGGGGCGUGUCGGGCUUGGUCGGGAAGCGGGUCAGUGCCAACGUGCCGGGCCUGGGCGAGGGGAAGGGGCGGCCAGUUCGCUGGCUACCUCAUGAUCCGAGCUCGGUCCCGUGCCUUGGCCUCCCGCGGAUCUUCCUUGCUGCGGGGUGUCGGCUGUUCUAGUUGCGGCUGGGCUUCUGCCCGCCGUGGACGGGCCGAAUUUUCCCUUCGGCCGCCAUUCAACGAUCAACUCAGAACUGGCACGGACCGGGAGAAUCCGACUGUCUAAUUAAAGCAAAGCAUUGCGAUGGCUCUAGCGGAGUGUUUACGCAAUGUGAUUUCUGCCCAGUGCUCUGAAUGUCAACGUGAAGAAAUUCAAGCAAGCGCGGGUAAACGGCGGGAGUAACUAUGACUCUCUUAAGGUAGCCAAAUGCCUCGUCANCUAAUUAGUGACGCGCAUGAAUGGAUUAACGAGAUUCUCACUGUCCCUAUCUACUAUCUAGCGAAACCACUGCCAAGGGAACGGGCUUGGAAAAAUUAGCGGGGAAAGAAGACCCUGUUGAGCUUGACUCUAGUCUGGCACUGUAAGGAGACAUUGAGAGGUGUAGCAUAAGUGGGAGAUGGGCGAGCCCCAAAGCUUGUUCAUCGACGGUGAAAUACCACUACUUUCAUCGUUUCCUUACUUACUCGGAUAGGCGGAGAGCGUGUACGCCUAUGGUAUAUACCGAGGCGUACCGGUAUUCUCGCGCCAAGCGUCCGAGGGUUGUCGGCACGCGUCUGGCAGGGCUUGGGUCCGCGCGGGAAAGCGGCUUGUCUAGCUGCAAGGCGGCAUGUCGCCGACCCCCGGCUCUUGCCUGGACUGGGCGCUGUUGACCGGCAAACACUCCCUCGCGUGAUCCGAUUCGAGGACACAGCCAGGCGGGGAGUUUGACUGGGGCGGUACAUCUGUCAAAUGAUAACGCAGGUGUCCUAAGGCCAGCUCAGCGAGGACAGAAACCUCGCGUAGAGCAAAAGGGCAAAUGCUGGUUUGAUCCGAAUGUCCAGUACGCAUAGGGACUGCGAAAGCACGGCCUGUCGAUCCUUUUGGCUUGAAGAGAUUUCAGCAAGAGGUGU